UACGAAGGGGGCUAGCGUUGCUCGGAAUCACUGGGCGUAAAGCGCACGUAGGCGGCUUCUUAAGUCAGGGGUGAAAUCCUGGAGCUCAACUCCAGAACUGCCUUUGAUACUGAGAAGCUCGAGUCCGGGAGAGGUGAGUGGAACUGCGAGUGUAGAGGUGAAAUUCGUAGAUAUUCGCAAGAACACCAGUGGCGAAGGCGGCUCACUGGCCCGGUACUGACGCUGAGGUGCGAAAGCGUGGGGAGCGAACAGG
rnacentral:rRNA from 1 species